rnacentral:lncRNA from 1 species
GAUGGUAUUUUCGCAAGUGCACGAAAGCCACGUAGUAAUAAAAUGUGAGUUGUCGAUCCACAUGGAUUGUGUGAUUAAACGAGUUCAAAAGUAUCUAUACACAUUAUGCAAAAGUAAGACAUGUAUCGGGGGUUUGAUUGAGUGAUCAAUUGGUAGAAAAUCGUGCUUAGAGAUAAAUGGAAAAGCGAGGUAGAAUCAUCGGAAUCAUCUAGUCUAUAGCUAAACCACAUGCAAUCUAUAAUAUCAUAGGAAUUACUCAAGUGUUCACAACUAGAUCGACAAGGUAGUGAAUCGCAAUCUCUUGUCAAAAUCCACUCUAUUCGUUGUCGAUGCUCCCCCUC